rnacentral:rRNA from 1 species
UACGUAGGGUGCGAGCGUUGUCCGGAAUUAUUGGGCGUAAAGAGCUUGUAGGCGGUUUGUCGCGUCUGCUGUGAAAAUCCGGGGCUCAACCCCGGACUUGCAGUGGGUACGGGCAGACUAGAGUGUGGUAGGGGAGACUGGAAUUCCUGGUGUAGCGGUGAAAUGCGCAGAUAUCAGGAGGAACACCAAUUGCGAAGGCAGCUCGCUGGGACGUAACUGACGCUGAGACGCGAAAGCGUGGGGAGCAAACAGG